CGACGAUCCAACCGUUUUAUCGUUGCGUGCAUUUCAGAGAACUUUGUUAGAGAAUCUGGAAAGUGCAUCCAAACAAAUAAAUAGUUGUCCAACCAAAAUCAUAAUUCCGACGAUUUGGUGAUUCAUCGACAGGAAAUUUUCAUGGAUUACUCGAAAAAAAAUGGAUCAUUCGUAUUCACCAAAAAUAUUGUUCGAACCAUUAAAUUUUUGUUCAACAAAAUCGACUUCGUUCAAUUCACGAAUUUUUAUUUCUCAACUAUAAAAUGUGUGCCCACGACACAAAAACUCCACAAUUUUCACGAAGCUCACGUUCUCACACUAGAAUACAAAAUAUAGUAUAAACGAACACCAGGGCGACUGUUACAUAUUUUUCCUAAGAAGCAAAACUGUUCAAGAUUCACAUUAGAAUUCAGUAUUAAUAUUUUCCUCUGGAAUGCAGCAAAAAUAUUUCGAGUCCUCACCUUCAAACAUUUUUACGAAAACAUCGAAUUUCAGGGGAAUUUUUUUCCAACUUUUUAACCAACUACUAAAAUAUGCCCACACGAGUUCAGAGCACGUCGAUUUAUGUAAUCACCCGAAUAGGGACACAUCAAAUAAACUGAGUUCUCAAGCGACAGGUGUUUUUAUCGCAUGUGCACAGGUGCAUACAUUUAAAAGCACGAAUUAAUACGGAAAAAAGCUGCAAGGCCUUCCGGUUUUAUAUAUUUAACACAUUUAAUUAUAUUCGUACAAAAAUGGAUAAUGCAGAGGCUCUGCAGCAGUCAACAAAGGAUCAUGUGAGAUUCGUCAUGAUGGAAAAACGUUUCAUGGAAGUCGAGACCAAAAGCCCCAUCGAGAGGAUGCUGGCUUCUUUUGAAAACUGCUCUCAACUACGACCAACGAUAACCACGUUGCAGAAGAUCGAGACCAAGACAGCAUUUUUCAUUCUGAUCGCGAUGGCAUCGUCACUGAAGCUUCUCGAGAAUCAAAAGGAAAAAAAUCGAGUCUGAAAAAGAACUUGAAAAAAAAAAAAAAAAAAAAAAAAGCGAGCCAAAUGGCCCAGCGAUGUGGAUGAAAAUUUUUUGUUUUUUCACCCUCGAGACCGUAUUGACCGUUCGAAAGAAAUGAAAAUUUCGCAGCCCCCACCUCGGCUGGCUCAUCUGCUCCAAGGUUUCGUUGCUUCGGCCAACAACUCGUAUCAGAAAUAUUAUCCUGCCAACAUCGAACUAAAGGCUUUCAUUGAGAGAAAUGAAAUUCGCAUCCAUCAAGAAAAUGUUCAGCCCACUCUGGAGCCUCGGAAACUGGCCUGAAUUUAGCGAAAAUUUGAGUGAUCCUUUAAUUUUGUGCACCAGUGUAUAAACGCUCGGAUGCGCGUGGGUGAGCUGAAGGGGGUAUAAAGGCUUCUCAAGUUUCAUCAAUUAAUCGCAAUCAGCUGUGGAGCCUGUUUGGAUUCGGCGAUGUCUGGUUUACCGGUGGCUCGGUUUGUCCCUGCAAGAUCUUUCGAUAUCGUUGAAGCAAUCGCAGAGGGACACUGCCGAACAAAACCCAAUUACAAGAGUCCCGUUUCAUCGUUAAUGAAUCAACGAAUUGCCGAGCAUUUGGCAUGGAGAGAAUUUUUGGUUUGGCGAAGUUUUGAUGCGAACGUGGAAGGUUCGUUGGGAAAGAAUAUCCAGUGGAAACUUGAAUCACUCUGAGAACGAGAAAUGUGUAUCAGCCCAAAAGAUCGUUGAAGUUUCUCUGAAGCGAGGAGGAUCACUGCCGAUCGAGGAACAGAAUUUUGCCAGGAAGUUCGGAAUCCGAUGUUGAACGUGCGAGAAAUUUUGUCAUAUUGCAAUGAAAAUGGAAACUUGAUGUAAACGAAGAUGAUUCGUCGGAGUUUUCGCACUCGUUCCCGACCACAGACAAUGCCUCUCCACCAACGUUUUUUUCUCGCCGAAACUCUAGUCACUCGCAUGAGACAAGAACGCGAGGAUCGAGUAGAAGCGGAGCCACGACACUUGACACCAAAUGUAGGGCGCUUUCGUGAAUUCUUCGAGAAAUCGUCAUGAUGAGACGAUCCGAUGAUCCGAACGUUUUCUUGUGCUUUUAAGCCCCCUUUUAAUGCCAAAUCCUGCAAAUUGACACGGUCAGUGAACGAAUGCUCAGUUUUUACUGUAGUUUGGGAAAAAAGUUGGAAAAUAUUUGGCAAUGAAAAAUAAUUGUCCCAAACCGAACUAAAUUUGGUUAGAAAUCUUAACAUUCGUUUUGCACUAUUUCUCUGACUUUAUUGGGACUGAAGAAAAAUUUAGGAUAUUGCAUGUUUGAGCGGCGACCGCCUUCAAUAAUUAUGCUGAAAAUGACCGAUUGAAAGACGUUCGAAUACUCGCAUAUAACCGAAUCGAAUGAAUGGAGAACGAAGAAUGAUUUCGCCACUGUAAUUCGAAUUCGUUUUUCCUUUUCUAUAAACAUGAUAUUUUUAUUUGGUGAGGAAAAAUUGAAGAGCGUUUCGUUACUAUUUUUCGUUAGAAUUUCAUCGAAUUUACGAAUUCUCUGGCAUCCGUUGUGUCGGGACUUUCUCAGUUAGAAAAAACCUCGAUUUUUAGCGAUUUAACGUGGAGCCUAAAUGAAGGGGCGAACGGGAACGAAUUAAUCGAGCGUAAAUUCUCUGUCCCAGAUUAGACAUUCGCAAAUAAAUUUUCAACGACCUUAAGGCUUCGGAGAUGCUCGUACGUGUGUACGGUUUGUUCAAGAGAAUGAGCGCGGGUAAUACGGGCACGACGCGUGAAUAUAGACGAAGGCUUAAGGUCGGAUUAUCGAGAAAUUUCGGAUUCUACUUUACCAGACGAUCUCGAGGCAAGAGGAGCAGCUCAGAAGAAUGGAGAAUUGGCGGAAUAAAGUAAGAGACAGAGGCCGAGAGUUAAUUUGUAGUAGUUGGAGGACGUGACGAGAUUGCCAUCCGAUAAAGAGACAAAGAAAGAGAAAAUCGGAGAGAAGGACAGAAAAAGAGGUAGGAAGAGGGCGAACGAGGGGAUGCUCACAUACAGUUAUGUUUUAUACUCAACAUUGGAUAAAGAAAGCGUCUCACUGUCAUCUAAAAAUACAUUAUCGAUUAUACAACCCACCUGGAUGAAAAUAACGCAAUACUACGAAUGUUUUGAGGCUCUGUAUACAUAAAUAGCGAAUUCCAACGAUUAUAUAAUUUGAGAGCUAUCCGAAGCUUUCCGGAAGUACAAAGUUUUCGUCCGAGUCAAGCAUCGUCCUGGGACGACGAAACGGACUGUAAGGAACGAGUGCACGAAUGUACGGCAGCAGCUUUUUUCAUUGGGCGAUAUCGGACACGAUUGGCAUAACUUUCGUUGGAAAAGAAUUUUUCUGUGCCAAGAGCGAGAGAAAGAAAACGGACGCCGAAGCAGAGAAGGGAAAGGGGAAUAUGAAGCUGGUUCGAGGUAAAUCGAGGAAACAGCAGCAGCAUAAGCCCUGAACGAGCCACGUGGUGUGGCGCGCGCGGGACAAUCAAUGUCGUGACGUCAUGCGACAACGAGCCAAUAGCACACGAGCUCCAUUCAACCCGCCAACCUCAGCCUUCUCUAUCGCCAGUGGAAACCCACCGAGUUCCGUCAGACUUUGCCUGACUGCAGUUCGUCCUCGACCACUGAAACGCGCGGUCGAGGAAACCAAGGCCCGCGAGUCUCCUCCUCUUCACUCAACCUUUUCCUCUUCGUUGCUGUUUUGAAAAUAAUUUCAAAACUCGUCACCAAAAGAAUCGAUAACCGAGGAAAAGAGAGUUUUUAGAACCUGGCAAAAGUCAUUUUUUUCUACCAGCAUUGCGAGGCUUUCAAUCAACAAAAUCAGAAAUCGAAAGAAAAAAGAUUGAAAAUAUUAUCAAGAACAUUUUCCCCGAGACGUUACUCUCGCAAAUAAAACUUGAUACUUUCGACAA
rnacentral:lncRNA from 1 species